rnacentral:misc_RNA from 1 species
CCACCCAAAUGACCUUGGUUGACAUUUAAUUUUUUUCCUGUUUACAUUUUUUUUAUUUGUCGAUUUUUUCCUGCUACUCAAUUAAAUCGUGUGUUUUCCUGCUGCCGUGCGUCGGUAUUUUCUAAAAUUUCAUUCAUGUGCCAGAAAUUCCGGGGCGGAUACCAUCCAGAGGGCCCCAAUGUGCCAGGAUCAAUGGAUGUGCACCCAACAUGGUGUUCCAGUUAAUUAAUUAAUGAAGUUCCUCUGCAAUCAGAUAACCGCCUGUGUCUAAUAUGGAUGAAGAGUUAGGUCCAAACGAUGACAGUGCCUGGGACAUUUACGGAAAAACCCCACCGAGAACUAAGAUUCUCAGGAAGAACCGUGAGAGGAGACAGAAAUACGCAGGGGGGUCCGAAUCGGUAAACUCUAAUAAUAAGGCACACAAAGUAAAAAAUCAAUUAGUUAGACGAAACACUGUGAGCACCAUGUACGACGAGCUGAUAGCUAACGCUGAAAAGUCAGAUUCAGAACAACCAGCAGGGGCUACCAAACAACGGAACAAACGCCAUUUGAAGCUGCUGAGGGGCUCGGAAAGGGACCUGAAACUGGACAUAGUGACCGCCCAGGCGGUGCACAGUAAAAAGUUCGGGCCUUACGAUUGGGAACCCAGGACACCGAGCUACUCGAUCGAGUGUGGCAAAAGGUUCAUGUGUUUGAGUGGGCGGAUGCAGCCCUGCCAACGGGAGCACCCCGCCACCAUAGAGUCCGAAGAAGUCGGCGGUGGAAAGAAAACUGCGGUGGAAGACAACAGUGCCGAAUGUCCCCAGAGCAGGGUGGAGUUUUAUCAGACUUUGAGUCUUUUGAUACGGAUGGGGGGUACCAAGGAGGAGAGGAGUACUAGACGGGGGAUGAGCAGGGAAGAGUCCCUGUGGCAGACCGAAUUCAAGGACCUCAUCUGGCUGGAACUUCAGGCGUACCACGCGGACCGCACCCCCAUCGAGGAGGACGACCACCUGUGCACCCAACGGGAGUCGGUCGAACCCCUUUUGGACGACAUCAUGAACUAUCGCUUCGAGAGACGUUGCAAGACGUACGGCACCCAAAACAGCGACAGUGGCGUAGAGGAGGUCGUCGAUUGUCCCGGGGGGUGUAAUUCCGUUUUUUGUUCUUCGUGCGUCGAGGCGCAGAACGACGCCCUGAGAGAGGUCGAGGGGCUAAUGAGGCGCCUCGAGGAAGCCGAGGCCCUUUUUCCUUCGUCGAAGGCGUUUUCCGAACUGUUCCCUUUGUAUUGCAGCCCGGAAUUCGUCAGUAGGGUGAAGGCGAUCGUGCUCUGGUUCAACAUGACCGAGACGCAACGAUUGACGGUGAACAGUUUGGCGCGGCUCGUUUUAUGUUUGGAGGCGAAACCGGGCAGUUGGCCGGUGAUGUCCGACGAAGCCAAUGGAUCGUCCACGGACAGCAACAACAGCGUCACGUCCUCGGUGGGUGAGAUCAGCGUCUGUUCGAUGAUCAAGAAUGACAUUUACAAUAUCGUGCCCCUGGCCCUGCUGAUCACCAAAAAGGACCAGAACAACGUGUCCCCCUACCGGCGCUACAUAGAGAACAUCCUCAAGACCCGCGCACUGUACAAAAGUCUCAGUUUCCUCGAGUCGAUGCACGUGAACGUUUUGGACAAAGUCAAUCUGACCUUAGCCAAGCCGGAGGACGCCGAAAUAUUCUCGCAGGUCGUCUGCCGGACGCAGGAAGAGGAGCUGGUGCGUUACGGCGCGUGGAGCCCCGAGGCCGACCAGCUGCGCCUGCCGUCGUACCGCGCGAUUUUCCUGUUUCUCGCCGCGGUACCGUCCGAGGUGAUCAACGAGUACCUGCGCAUGCGACUCGAACAGAAACCGCAGAACCCCUCGCCCCUCAGCGUCCGACAACUGAUGCGGGAACUGAAAGAAGGUCUCCGGGUCGCGGUGACCGAACGGGACCGCGUCGACCGGUACCUGAAGACGUUCGGGCACGAGCACCGCCUCCCCCCCGCCCACACCAAAACCCUCGACGACUUCUCGAACUGUCUGCUGGCCGUCUUCAGGGACUACCUGGGGUACCUGGAGCAGUGGGUGCUGCUGCACCACGACACCUUCCAGAAGAACCUGCUGGAGGAGGAGUUCCGGUUCUCCCUGGGGGUCAUCAAACACAUCGAGGGUGGCGGCGAAUUGUUGUCCGACAAGUACGUCGCCAUAUUGAGUCGCAUAUUGGAACGGAUCGCCGACCGGCUAAUGAAGAAAGUGGACGGGUUCCUGGUGACCAUCGGCGAGGAGGGCAGGGGUACUUUGAAACAAACGUUGUUCAACGUGUGCAGGGAGUUGCAGAGCAUCUUCAACGACGAGCGGGAGAUGAGCAUGAAGACGAUGGCGUUCGCGAAACUGCUCACGGCCAAGUGUCGACCUUCGAACACCGACGGGUUCAAGUCCUUGAAGAACUGCAUCGUGGCCUUCAAGUGCAUCAUCCCGACCGCCAUUGCGAAGGUGCAGAGUUUCUUCAACUACGUGAGGGCGGAUUAUUUCGACGAGAGCGACCGUCACGCCCUCUGUUCCCGCAUCAGGGAAAUCCUGAUGCAGAUCUACCGGUUCGGUUUCGAGUUCUACAAAGAAAUGGCCGACGGGGUACCGACCGACUAUAGGGCGAAACUGAUCUACAGCAUGGUCCAGUUUGCCAAACUGUGGAUGUCGUUCGUCACCGAGAGGUGCGAGAGGGGCAGAGGUAUGAGACCGCGAUGGGCCAAUCAGGGCAUGGAAUUCCUUCUGACCGUGUGCGACCCCGCCCACACCAAAUACCUGACCGAUGAGGAGUUCGAGGACCUGAAGCGGAGCAUGGACGAGUGCAUUUCACACUUAAUUGGCAAGUCGGCCCCCUCCACCCCCGACAGCGGGUUCUACUCCGCGUCGUCGCCCCGCGUCUCCCUGGAGCACAUCAGGACGAAGUCGCGGGGGCCGUCGCCGAGCCCCCGUCCCCCCUACAAAAGUCAACGGUCGGCCGCCCCCCCCGCCGCCCGGAAAACGAGCGGGGCGGACCAACAGUCGCCCGGUUGUACGGACCUGAUGGUCGACGGGGUCGCCCUCACUUAUCACGUAGGCCGGCGCGACGACAGAAACGGGAUAAAGAUCAAAGCGGCCGCGCCGCCUAAAUCGCACGGCGAACGGGUCCUGGACGCGGUCGAGACGCUCGAGCGUAAAAUCGACGAGAAACUGCGUCGGGACCAACUGAUCGGGACGAUCGUGCGCCGCAGCGACGACCUGAGGAGCCACAUCAAGCGACGAAACGUCGCGUUCUCGUGGCAGCGGGGCAUCAAAAUAGGUCAAGGUCGUUUCGGGAAGGUUUACACCGCCGUCAAUAAUAACACGGGGGAAAUGAUGGCCGUGAAGGAGAUCCCGUUGCAGCACAACGAUUCGGCGACCAUCAAACGCGUCUCGUCCGAAAUGAAGAUCUUGGAGGGCAUCACCCAUGACAACCUGGUCAAGUAUUACGGCCUGGAGGUUUACACGGACAAAAUGCUCCUGUUCAUGGAGUUCUGCGCGGAAGGAACCCUGGAGAACCUGAUCAGAUCGACCGAACGCGGACUUCCGGAACCCCUACUCCGGAAGUACACCUAUCAACUGCUCAGCGGCGUCGCGUGUCUACACGAUCACGGGAUCGUGCAUCGGGACAUCAAGCCGGCCAACGUUUUCCUCACCGAUCAGGCGGACCGUUUGAAGAUCGGCGACUUCGGGUGCGCGGCCAAGAUCAAAAGCAACGUGACGAUGCCCGGGGAACUGCAGGGAUUCGUCGGGACUCAGGCUUACAUGGCCCCCGAGGUGUUCACCAAAAACAUGAACGAGGGACACGGACGUGCCGCCGACAUCUGGUCGGUCGGGUGUGUCGUCAUCGAGAUGGCCUCGGCCAAGCGUCCGUGGGCCCAGUACGACUCGAACUACCAAAUAAUGUUCAAAGUGGGCAUGGGGCAGAGCCCCGAGCCCCCCGACGACCUGAUCGAAGAGGGCCUCGACUUUUUGCGGUUGUGCUUCAAACACGACCCGCGAGAGAGGGCGUCCGCGCACCAGCUACUCGACCAUAAUUUCGUCAAAGUGGGAAACGACUUAAUUUAAAGCCAAUAUGUGAGUAGAUUGAGUUGACCUCAUAAAAUUCUCGAUAUCUUUGAAACUGUUGUAGGGAUUUUAUUGAUUUUAGUUUCAUAUGAAAGCCAGUGAGUUUCUUUAUCAAAAAGGUCCUUACAAGUUUCCUCGUAUCUACAGCCCUUUUGGAGUUAUUCAACUGUUUUUCGGUACAUUAAAAAAAAUCUUGAUACAGUCAAAGGCUUCACAAAAAUCUCAAUAUCUUUGAAACUACUGUAAGGAUUUUGUUGAUUUUAGUUUCAUAUGAAAGCCAAUGAGUUUCUCUAUCAAAAAGGUCAUUACAAGUUUCCUCGUAUCUACAGCCCUUUAGGAGUUAUUCAACUGUUUUUCGGUACAUUAAAAAAAUCUUGAUACAGUCAAAGGCUUUACAAAAAUCCCAAUAUAUUUGAAACUACUGUAAGGAUUUUAUUGAUUUUAGUUUCAUAUGAAAGCCAGUGAGUUUCUUUACCAAAAAGGUCCUUACAAGUUUCUUCCUUACUACAGUCCUUUUGGAGUUAUUCAACUGUUUUUCGGUACAUUAAAAAAAAUCUUGAUACAGUCAAAGGCUUUACAAAAAUCCCAAUAUCUUGGAAACUACUGUAAGGAUUUUAUUGAUUUUAGUUUCAUAUGAAAGCCAGUGAGUUUCUUUAUCAAAAAGGUCCUUACAAGUUUCCUCGUAUCUACAGCCCUUUUGGAGUUAUUCCACUGUUUUUCGGUACAUAAAAAAAAAUCUUGAUACAGUCAAAGGCUUCACAAAAAUCCCAAUAUCUUGGGAACUACUGUAAGGAUUUUAUUGAUUUUAGUUUCAUAUGAAAGCCAAUGAGUUUCUCUAUCAAAAAGGUCCUUACAAGUUUCCUCCUUACUACAGCCCUUUUGGAGUUAUUCAACUGUUUUUCGGUACAUUAAAAAAAAUCUUGAUACAGUCAAAGGCUUUACAAAAAUCCCAAUAUCUUGGAAACUACUGUAAGGAUUUUAUUGAUUUUAGUUUCAUAUGAAAGCCAGUGAGUUUCUUUAUCAAAAAGGUCCUUACAAGUUUCCUCCUCACUACAACCGUUUUGGAGUUAUUCAAGUGUUUUUCGGUACAUUAAAAAAAACCUUGAUACGGUCAAAGACUUUACAAAAAUCCCAAUAUGUUUGAAACUACUGUAAGGAUUUUAUUGAUUUUAGUUUCAUAUGAAAGCCAAUGAGUUUCUUAACAAAAAAGGUCCUUACAAGUUUCCUCCUCACUACAGCCGUUUUAGAGUUAUUGAGUCUUUUGUCAAUGCAUUGUCAACUGUUUUAUUGUAAUUAAGAAUAAAGUAUUCAUUCAAAAAAGA